rnacentral:rRNA from 1 species
GAUGAACGCUGACAGAAUGCUUAACACAUGCAAGUCUUUGGCGAAUCUGUGCUUGCACAGGCUAGCCAAGGCGGACGGGUGAGUAACGCGUAAAGAACUUGCCCUGCAGACAGGGAUAACAGACGGAAACGACUGAUAACACCUGAUACAGUUGCCGGCACACAUGUGCCUGGCAAUGAAAAGAGAUGCUGCAGGAGAGCUUUGCGUCCUAUUAGCUUGUUGGUGAGGUGACGGCUCACCAAGGCGAUGAUAGGUAGCCGGCCUGAGAGGGUGAACGGCCACAAGGGGACUGAGAUACGGCCCUUACUCCUACGGGAGGCAGCAGUGGGGAAUAUUGGACAAUGGGGGCAACCCUGAUCCAGCAAUUCUGUGUGCACGAAGAAGGUUUUCGGAUUGUAAAGUGCUUUCAGCAGGGAAGAAGAAAGUGACGGUACCUGCAGAAGAAGCGACGGCUAAAUACGUG